GCCCCCAAUCCCUGCAUUUCCUGCACAGUCAGGGUGUCCCAGGAAGCUCUGAUGCCUUCCCCUGCAAAAACCCCAGAAUACUCUCAAACAACAGGGAUAGGGUUUCCUGUGGCGCCCUCCACACCCCUCUCUGGACCACCGGAUAGCCUUGAGCUCCCACCACCACUCUCUCCAGCGGCUGGAACCGCCAAAGCCCUGUGUGGCGAGGGGUGCAGAAUCUGCUGCCCGGCGGGUCUGGGCGGGACCUUCUAGGCCGCAGGCACCUCUUGGAAAAAGGAAAGCGAUCCCUCCUUCGGGGACUAAGGUAGAGAGGCGGUAGGAAAAAGAGGGCAGUGGGCGUACGCACUAGCCAGCUGGGAAAGAAAGUGUAGCCUUAGAAGUCUGGGACGCGUUCGGCCCCAGGGGCGGUGAGACAGGCUCCCUCCCCCGCCCCAUACAAGCCCCGCCUGGAUUGCCCGCCUGGGUCUGGAGUGCUGGGGGUCACCUCCCAGCCUCCUGACCCUUGGACUCCACGGUAAGGCGAGAGUGGACCCCGCGUCCGAGGAUCAAACCGGAGCGUGGGCCUCCACUUCUCUGCAGAAAAGCCACGAAGCUGUGUACGGCGUGCACCACGUGCGUGCCUGAUGCCUAAGGAGGCCAGAAGAGUGCAUCACAUUCCCUGAGACUGGAGUUAUAGGUCAGAACCAGAGAGGGACGUUAGAGAUCUGCACAGCUCAGAAGAAGAAAGGGAGGAGAGAAAGGUGGAAUGUCCACACACUGUCUGCCCAUAUUCUCAGGCUAGCUGGGGAUGCUCCUGCCCUGGCAGACAGACUGGCCCCUGGGCCACCAUGAGACAGCAGCAAGUGCCCCACCUCUGAGCACAUGCCCUAAGUGUCUACCUAUGUCCUGAUGAGUCACCCUGGCUACUUACCCACUACCCCUGAAGCUCAUCUGCUGGGUCCCAGCACCUUGGUAUGAUUCACCAUUGUUCUGCAGUUUCUGUCUGAGCCUGGCGUGGGGAAAGAUUGUUGCUUGGCCUUUGUAAGUAAAGAGCUUGCACAUCUC
rnacentral:lncRNA from 1 species